rnacentral:rRNA from 1 species
UACGUAGGGGGCAAGCGUUAUCCGGAUUUACUGGGUGUAAAGGGAGCGUAGACGGCGGUGCAAGCCAGAUGUGAAAGCCCGGGGCUCAACCCCGGCGAGCCGUUGAAACUGUCGGACUAGAGACGGCGAGAAGUACGCGGAAUGCGCGGUGUAGCGGUGAAAUGCAUAGAUAUCGCGCAGAACUCCGAUUGCGAAGGCAGCGUACCGGCGCCGGACUGACGCUGAGGCACGAAAGCGUGGGUAUCGAACAGG